AAAAAAAAAACAGAGAGAGAGAGACCCAACUUUAACGCUUCUUCAAGAGGUUAUAUAUAUUGAAAUAGUCAUUAAUCACUUAACAGAUUAAUGACUAUUUAGAUAAGGAAUCCUAUGACGUUAUGUCACAUAUUAUACAAGAUGAUGUGUCUUCGGGGCAUGGUGGGAAAAUAUAAAAUUGUAUGACAUAGAAUUUCAAACAAAGCAAUGUCCAAUCAAAUCAUUUUAGCUAGAAGAACAAAAUGGACAACACUUUUAUUAAUUCGAUCCUAAAUCUUUUAAUUUUAUUAACUAAGUUAUUAACAUUUUUAUGUUUUGCUAAUUGAGUCAAUCUAGUUAAUUUUGGUCAAAAAAUUACUUAUGUGGAUGUCGAUAGUCGAUUCUAACGUGAACAAUUUUUAAAAACAUUUUAAUAUUUUUUUUGAAUUUUUUUUUCUUUCUUUCUUUUCCUUUUCUUCCCUUUUGCCCUUAGUGGAGAGGUGAGAGCCGACAAGGUCAACCUCGUUGGCCUUGGUUGAGCCUUGUUGUGAUUGGGUAAGGCUUGACUUUGCUAGAUUCGGCGAGACUUGCCCUUGUUGUUACUAGGUGAGGUCGGCUUCACCAUGGCUAGGUGAGGCUCGAACUAGUAAGAUCUAGUGAGGUCAAGCCUUGCUAGGGCGGAUGAGGCUUGACCUUGCCGUUGCUAAGUGAGGUCAGCCUCAAUUUUUGGGCAUGGCAAGGAAAAGUAGUACAAGUAACGUGUUCAUCAUAAUUGGACUUAUAGUAGUGAAGCAUUAAUAUAGAUGCUAUUGACUAACUAUUUUGGCAUUUUUGUUUUCUUUAUGCUUUGGAAUCUUCACAACUUGGAGAAUGGAGCCAAAAGAGAUAUGCUCCUAUGCAAGCAUUAUUUUAUCAAUGGUGUUGUUGUCCAUCUUAAAGUAUCGAUUUCAUGCGCCAUUCUUAUUUCUAUUUGUAUGUGAGUUGGCUGGAUGGACUAAACUGACAUAAUUACAAAAUUUUAUGACUAAAUUGGCAAAAAAAUAAAUAAAUAAGUUUAGGAUUGAAUCAUCACAAUUACAAUAUAUUUAAGACUUUAAAAAAAAAAUAAUAAUAACUCUCCUGAUAUAAAACCUAUAAAUAAGAGAUGUGGAAUAUUAUUCCACUCUCACGUACAAAUAGAAAUAAGAAUGGCACAUGAAAUUGAUACUUUAAGACGGAUGCACUCUUUGCUAGGGGCUAAUGCGGGAUCUCGUUGGUCUUCGCUGGUCCUCGCCUUUGGCUAGAUGCUAAGGCCUAGCAACUGGCCAAAGAAAGAAGGGAAUAAUGAAAAAACCUAAGGGAAAGAAAACGAGAGGGAGAAAGAAAAGAAAAUGAAAGAAAAUAAUAAAUAAAUAAUUGAAAAAAUAUAUAAAAUAAUUUAUACUAUGCUAUGUAAAAUGGCUCACAUUCACAUAAAUGAUUUCCAGCCAAAAUUGGCCAAGUGAACUUAAUUUAAAAAAUAUGAAAAUGUUUAUAAUUUCAUGAGUACAAUUAAAAUAUUUAAGACUGAGUUGUUAAAAAUGCAAUAGAUUUAUGAUUUUUUGAAGAAUUUUUCAGAUGUGGAUAUGCCUUUUUAUCCUAAGUUACUCUUAACGACUUUGGAACUACUGAAGAAAAGGGCUACUCCGACGAGGACGACAUCAUUUACGUUAGAAAGGGUGCGGUCAUGCCUUCUUAUCAUGCUUGGCUAUAAAAUAAAAAUAAAAAUGAACCGUGUCGUCGAUACCCUUUGACUGGUUUAGCACAAAAUCUUUUCUUAGCCCUAAUCUUACGUAAUUACAAGCUCUAGAAGCUGGGGGCGACUCCUUUCUGUUUUGACGUAGGAAAAAAGCACAAAGCGACAGGGCGAAAGAGGUGAACUGGUUGGCUUGCAAUCAAAAUCCUCAAGUAACGACGCAAUUAAGCUAGUGACUUCCAACCAAAGUGUCAAUGAAAUUUACUCCUUUUUUCGGCCGUACGACAUCGUCGGCGAGAGUGAACUGAGAGGCGAGGGAGGGGAAAGACGAGAGGCGACCGGUGCGAGGGAGUCGAGAGGUAAGCCUAUUUGAGAGUGAGUCUGAGAGGCUAUGGCUUUGUUUUUCUCCUAAAAACCACUGAUAGGCUGCUUUAGUUUAGAAAAUUAGACGAAAAAAUUACCCAGAAAAAAGGAAAAUUAAGGCAUACUGGCCCGUUCCGGUUUUUUGUGCAAAUACAGGAACCUAACAAGUUAUUGCCAAUUCCCAAUACUGCGAGAAUCAUCUAGAAGCAGCUGGUUUGGUCCGGUUUCUGGUCACUCACUCUUAGUUCAAUCUCAAAACUGAGCGAAGUCAGAGAAGAAACAAAAGCGAAAUUACAAGAGGUGAAGAAAAUUGUACUUCCUUUUUCAGGAAAACAGAUAGAUAUUGAUGUUUUAGAAGAAAUUAUUUGUACGGAUCGUUUGCUUUAUGAUUUUACUUUUUUAUUUGAGCAAAAUAAAGAAAUUAGUAAUGAAGUUAAAAUAUUUACUUUGUAAUUUUUCUUUUGAGAUUAUGCCUACUUUUUGUCAAUUUUCUAUAAAAAAUUUAGAGUGAACUUUACAAAUGACUAAUUUUUUUUUUUUGGUCGAAAGGUAGAUAUAUUUAAAUAGGAAAUGUAGUACAACCCGAAACCAGGGCUUCAUUACAGAUUAAAUCCAACAUAGCUUGAGGUGGGUAGGAAACCCAGUUGGAAGGAAGGAGGCCACUCCCGUGGGCCUUCGCAGCCCAAUCAACUAGGGCAUUGCAUUCUGGUUGACAAUGCUGCAGAGAGAGAUGAGGAAAACAGAGCAGUAGGGAUUGGCAUUCGGCGAAUAGGGCUUGACAGUUCCAUGGCGGCAAACGGCUCCGAUUCAUGGUCUCAACAAGGAUCUGAUUGUCAGUUUCAAGCUGCAGGGCUGUAUCAACAAGAAGAUCUGGAUGAGUUCGUUGAUUGCGAAAGAUGAGCUGGUUUCGAGCUUUCUAGAUAUGCCAUAAAAGAGCUGCAAUGAUCUCUAAGAUAGGUUGAUUAGUAUGUUGUUGAAGUUGCUGCUGGAGAAGAGCAAUCUGAGUAUGGUUCGCAGAAAAGGCUGAUUUGCUCCACUUUAUUAGAGCUCUUGUGGUUGCUCGAAUCUUAUGGGAGAUGGAAGAGUUACUGAGAGAUGGAGCCGACCAGGCAUCCCCUACCACACGACGACAUUCCUCAUGCUCAAGCCAGAAAGAUUCAAAGGGGGGUUGUUAUCUCUUUCUGAGAGAGCAGAACAUCAUGAUGACUGUCAAUAGGUGAGCUAUGAAGAUUCUGAAUGGUGUGUAUCAAUAGAAACUGGCUGAGUUGGUAUCUCCACAGGGGCAGGAGGAAGUAAAAGAAGCCCUGGCUGAGGUGUUUCAGGUCAUUCUUUUGCAUCAAUCCGGACCUCUAGAGGCUGGCCGACAUCCUGUGCGAUUCUUCUCAAGAAUUGCUCAGUGCAUCGCUCAAGGGGAGGAGCAUCGUCCCAAGCUUCAAUUGCAUUAGAUGACCAAAGUUUGCCUAAUCGGCUACAUAAGGCAGCUAAUCGAGCAUCUUCAACUGGGUCCAUCGUUGCGAUAGGAGAAACAACUUCAAAGUUCGAUUUGGUGGUGAUGGUUGCAACAGAGGUUGUAUGCAGAACAUGGGAAUGGCAUCAGUGAAGUUGCUAGAUGAACAUGCACGACUUAGAUAGAACCAGCAAAGAAGGUGGGAUAGUGGGUAGACGGAGAAAAUGGAAUGGGAAAACAGGAAGAA